AGUAGAUCAUACAUUUAUUCUAGAUAUCUAGCCUAGUUAGAUAGGUUGCUAUUCAGUUUAAAGCCUUUGUUCACACUUCGCAUAUUAUUCAAAUAUGGCGGGCCGCGGGAAGAAGUGGGCGGCCCCAUAGACGCUAAGUAGGUCAAGACGUCCCGAAUCACCGGAGUGAUACCAGUCUAGACCAGCGCGGCAACUCCCCGAGGGGAGUUAUGUUUAUAGUAUUCAUAGUCAAGCCAGGGCGAGCCGCUGUACAGAGUGCACUCACCAAGAAGUAAGACAGCGCGAAGCUGCAGUAGAGUAGCGCACAGUAGUACCCCGUGCCGCCCAGCAGCAGCCCGGCCAGCAGGCUGCAUAU